CUUUCCAUAGCCAAAAAACAAGUAGAAAAUAAUAGCCAACUGAGAGAUCAAACUCACUUCUGCAUUACUAAGAAACACUGUGACAACACCCAUCCAGCUUCCUGAGACCACAGUGGAUGCUUUCUAUAUUCAUCUGCUAGUUGGGCAUCAGUGACUUCCACUGGAUUACUUCGCUUGGAAAUCUCCAAGGCAACCAAGCAUUCACAAGUUUCCACAGAGAAUAGGUUCGUUUUCUGGCUCCUUUUUACCUUAUACUAGACACAUAAGUCAGAAGCCCCAAAGUAAUCCCCAACUCUCUAUCAG
rnacentral:lncRNA from 1 species